ACUGAUCAACAAGUCAUGCUGCUCCACCACGCCGCUGCUCCAGUGAUACACCAGCACCAUCACCUGGAAACACACACACGGUACAGUACAGAGACUGAGGACAAUCUCCCAGGUUUUCCAGGUGUCUUGCAGAAAUCAACCAUCACCACUUGAGGUCACUGUAUCUGUUUUAAUUCAACCUGCAGCAGCACACCUGACUGAUAAAAGUAGAACUGAAAACAGAAGUUUGCUCUUAAAUGUUGGUUUGACUUGACAAAAACUUGAAUUGUAUCCUUAUCACAUCUUAUAAACAAUAUAUCACUCCUUC